rfam:Fukomys damarensis contig157187, whole genome shotgun sequence.
GUCUACGGCUAUACCUCCCUGAAUGUGCCUGAUCUCCUCUGAUCUCUGAGGCUAAGCAGGAUCGGGUCUGGUUAGUUUUUGGAUGGGAGAAUGACUACAUGAAAUGUGUAUUUUCAGGUGAGGGUGUCU